rnacentral:lncRNA from 1 species
ACUAUAGCAAAGUUCGAUGACUUACAUUUCCUCGUUGUGGAUCUUACUAAUAAGGCUUGUAAUAACCAUUAUAGUAAUAGUAUAAAGACAGACAUGAGAGAGUUGCCUAUAACUGAGAGCUCAUAAGCAAACCUUUACAUUCAUAUUUAAUUGAUUUUCAACAAAAGGAUCUGGGCAACUCAGUGGGGGAAAGGAUACUCAACAAACAUUGCUGUGGCAACUGGAAUUUCAAAGAAUGAAAUUGAAUUUUUCUUUUUACUAUGCUAAAACAAUUAAGUAAAAUAUGGAUCACAGACUUAAAGUAAGAGCUAAAAUAUAAGACAUUAGGAGAAAAGAGAAGAAAACGCCCAUGGUUUGGUGAGUUCUCAGAAAUGACCCCAAAGCAUAAUUUAUCAAAGAAAAUGACUCGCCAAAAUUUUAAAAAUUACACUUCCACAGAUAGCAGUGAUACAAUGAAAAGAGGAGCCCCAGACCACAGGACACACCUAUGGAUUCUGUCAGAUAAAGGAUGCUCAAAAUGUGGACAGAAGUCCUGCAGGCAGAAAGCAAGAGCCCCAACUUUAACAUGAACAAGAUCUGAAUAGACAUUCCACCAAGAAAAGUACCUGACUAAGCUAAUAGGUAAGUGAGAAAGUAUCCAUAGUUAGUUACUAAGGAAAGGCAGAAUAAUUCCAGUAAGACUCCAUUACACACUCGCCAGAAGGGCUGUGUAGGACGCUGCUUUUACUUCGAGUCGGGGGAAGUAGGACUCCUUCACUCCUUGCUUCAUGAGUGAAAUGAACUGCCAGGAUAUGUACCAUCCAGUCAUGCUUAACUGCUGGUGGAACUAGAACUGGGGAGGUAGAGGAUUGUUCUCUGAAUUUAUUUAAUUGUAAAUGAUAUCUCCUUUCUUUGAGAAUCCAUACAUGUAUACAGUGCAUUUUGAUCAUAUCCACUCACUCUUCCCAUGUGAAUUCUCCCUGGACCUUCUCAGCUCGUCUUCUCAGCUUCAUUAUCAUCUCCUCGUCCUCCCUAUCUCUCUAACCCUCCUCCUCCCAACUCACUGUGUCCCUCAGUGCUACCUGCGUGUACUUGGCUGUGAAGCCAUCCACUGGAACCUGGAGACCUAUGAGUAAUCACACUUUCCCAAAGACAGAUGAAAACUCCUCCUCUGGCAGCCAUCAGCUUCCAGUCGUUUCUCAGCCAGGGGGGAGGCCUCAAGAGCCCCUUCCCUACCCAUGCUGUGAUUUUGACUGCCUUAAUCUCAUGCGUGAGCACAGCUGUGGUGAGUCCGUGGAUAAAGUGUCACGCCAUGUCUAGAAGGCAGCAUUUUACACACUUCCUCUGUCUGUCAGCUCUUUGACUUUUCCCUCCGUGUUUUCCACAAA